CCCUUACACCUCUCCACCACCACCGGCCUCUCCUCCCUACCAUUACAAGUCACCACCGCCUCCUUCUCCUUCUCCUCCAGUGCACUACUCACCACCUAAGCAUCCCUACCACCCUAAGUCACCACCACCUCCUGUGUACGCACCACCUAAGCAUCCCUACCACCCUAAGUCACCACCACCUCCUGUGUACCCACCACCUAAGCAUCCCUACCACCCCAAGUCACCACCACCAUCACCAAAGCCUUACCACUACAAAUCCCCACCACCACCUCCUGCUCCAGUGCACUCACCACCCCCACCUAAGGAGCCAUACCACUACAAGUCCCCACCACCACCACCCAAGAAGCCCUACCACUACAAAUCUCCCCCACCACCUCCUCCUCCAGUUCACUCACCACCACCACCCAAGGAGCCUUACCACUACAAAUCUCCACCACCACCACCCAAGAAACCUUACUAUUACAAGUCUCCUCCACCACCACCAAAGAAGCCUUACCACUACAUGUCUCCUCCCCCACCGGUGUACUCACCACCUCCACCAGUGCACUCACACCCACCACCAAAAAAGCCUUACCAUUACAAAUCUCCUCCCCCGCCAGAAUAUUCACCAGCUCCACCAGUGCACUCAACCCCACCACCAAAGAAGCCCUACCAUUACAAAUCCCCACCACCACCACCACCACACAAGAAGCCUUAUUACCCUGUUCACUCACCACCUCCACCUAAGAAGCCUUACCACUACAAAUCCCCACCACCACCUUCUCCUACUCCUCCUAAAUACUCACCACCUAAGCACCCCUACCACUACAAGUCUCCACCACCACCACCAAAGAAGCCUUACCAUUACAAGUCCCCACCACCUCCUUCUCCUACUCCCCCUAAAUACUCACCACCUAAGCACCCCUACCACUACAAGUCACCACCACCACCACCCCAAGAAGCCUUACCACUACAAGUCUCCACCACCACCACCUCCUCCAGUUCCCACACCAUCUCCACCCAAGAAACCUUACCACUACAAGUCUCCCCCACCACCCCCUCCAGUCUACAAGUCUCCUCCACCACCAGUUUACUCACCACCACCACCACCUAAGAAACCUUACAAGCCACCAACUCCUCCAGCAGUUCACCCACCACACGGUUACAUCUAUUCCUCACCCCCACCUCCUCACCACUACUAGAUAUUGAAAGUUUAAUUGCAUCAAGCUGGUAA
rnacentral:lncRNA from 1 species